UACGUAGGGUGCGAGCGUUAAUCGGAAUUACUGGGCGUAAAGCGUGCGCAGGCGGUUUUGUAAGCCAGAUGUGAAAUCCCCGGGCUUAACCUGGGAAUGGCAUUUGGGACUGCAAGGCUGGAGUGCGGCAGAGGAGACUGGAAUUCCUGGUGUAGCAGUGAAAUGCGUAGAUAUCGGGAGGAACACCAAUGGCGAAGGCAGCUCGCUGGGACGGUACUGACGCUGAGGCGCGAAAGCGUGGGGAGCAAACAGG
rnacentral:rRNA from 1 species